GAUGAAGAACGCAGCGAAACGCGAUAGUUAAUGUGAAUUGCAGAAUUCAGUGAAUCAUCGAAUCUUUGAACGCACAUUGCGCCCAUUAGUAUUCUAGUGGGCAUGCCUGUUCGAGCGUCAUUAAUUCCACUUAAGCCCUGCUUAGUGUUGGGAAUCUACUCUAGUGGUGCUACCCUGGAGCUACCCCUGAAAGGGGGCUGGCCCGGUAGCUACCCUGUAGUUCCUCAAAGAUAGUGCGCGGAGUUGCGUGGUCCUCUGAGCUUAGUAACUAUACACCUAGCUUUUGAGUGUCCCGCGGCGCCUGCCGUUUAAACCCCAUCUUUUAAUGGUUGACCUCGGAUCAGGUAGGAAUACCCGCUGAACUUAAGCAUAUCAAUAAGCGGAGGA
rnacentral:misc_RNA from 1 species